UUUUCCAAUCAGCUGUGAGAGGGAGAGCUGGAGACAAAGGAGCUGCAGAUCUGAAUAUCCAGUGAGCUUGGAGCCAUGAAGCUGCCAUGCACUGAUCUUUAAAAGGAAUUGGCCAGGUGAUUUCCCCUUUUUGGGGUUAAAGGAUGGCGAGAUUCUAAGAUCUGGCUGGAGCCAGGAGAACCGAAUUUCACUCCAUACUGGUCUGGUAGGAGUUGAUGGUCCAUGAACUUUCCCCUCCUCCUCAUUACACAGACACACUACCCAUUAUUCACCCUUUCCAUCAGAGCUGAAUUGCGCUUGGACAUUUUCCCUUAAAGUUUCUGGAUAAACAAACUAUGGACUUUUAAAUGUGUGUCGGUCAGACACUGUGUUGACCAAGCGGGGAAAAGUGAAGGACUCUGUGCACAUUAGAACAUCAACUGCAGUAUUGUGUAUAUAUUUAUUGUAUUUUGGUUUCCAUGUAUGUUUUGUGUUUUGUAUUGUUUAAUUUUCUUCUUUAAAAAAAUACCUAGUAUUGAAAACAGUUACUCUCUUGUAUUGUUUUAUUGAUUUCUGACGACAGCUCCAGCAGACCAAUUUAGUUUUCUGAUGUCAGAAGCUAUUUAGUCCUUCAGUGCAUUAAGUACUGCUACAUUAUAAACAUCAAAUAGUGCUACAUUUCCUUUAUAACAAUAGUGUUUCAUAUUUGAUGUUCCUUGAUUGUUUUCUUUUCCUUCAACAUAAAGACUGUUUCUGUAUGUUUUGAUCUACUUUAUCUCCAUCUUCACAAGAGGGCCUCCCUGAAGAGAAGCAGUGAUAACCGAGCUCACAGGGUUUAUUACUCACCAGGAACUUCUUCUUCCUUUGAACGGUUAGAUAGCUGAAGAAUCGUCGCCUUGAAGAUAUACGACCUGUUCUGUUUUUACUCUGUGUUUAAUGCAAGAUAACAUGUGUUUAGUUAGUGAUUGUC